CUGUAUAAAGAAGGGGGAAAACCACAACUUCCAUCAGUACCACAUCAUAUACCUUGUCUAAAUCAUCCCAAUAUGAGACAUGCUAUCUGGAUUAAAUAUAAGUGUUUAAAUUAGAGAAUAAUAGGUAUUGUGGUUCACAAAGUUAAGCCUCUCAUUGCAGGAAGUGUUAGGUGCCAAAUCUAUUAAAAAUAACUUAAAUGAUAACUUUUUUUACAGAUGGGAAAUUACUAGUGCGUGUUGAGUGGGAAAUACCUGAGGAACUGUGGGAAAUACCUGAGGAACUGUGAGAAACUGCUGUUAAAAGGUGUCAAAAGAAAUUUGCUUGGAAAUUACAAAAGAGGAAGUGACAAGGAAAUAGGGGGCAAGACCAGACUGACCACUACAACUCGCCACCGAGAAGAAUAUAAACACCUGCUGUGAGCUGCAACCUCAUAGGCAGGAUUGGUGGGGGUGUAAGCCAUACUGGACCCCUAUUAUUCCUUCUUCUGUCACUUAUCCUUUUCCCUUUUGAGACACCAGCAAAGCCAUGUUACAAAUGCUAUCGAAAGCUUUACAUGGAAAGACACCGGGGUUUCUUUCUUAUUACCCACACCAGUAUCAAUAAUCACUGCUAUAACCCAUCCAAAUUAAGUACCUGUAUGCAUAAAAGGAAAAAUAUUAGACCACAGAAAAUCUAGGAACAAGUAGUAACAGAUUAGAAAACAACUGCCCAAAAGGAGAAAAAGAUGGAUUUGCUUCACAGUUGUUGCCAGGAGAAAUAAGCAAGAUUUGGUAAGAGAGCAAAUGGUAAGUGAAAAGAUAAAGCCAACACAGCAACCUAGACCUGUAUUAACCUCAUGUCAGGACCUGUAAGCAAAGCUCAAACAGCAAUUAAAUGGAGAAAAUUUCUUCAUGAAGUGAGAAAUACUCCUGAUUUGGUAAGAGAGCAAAUGGUAAGUGAAAAGAUAAAGCCAACACAGCAACCUAGACCUGUAUUAACCUCAUGUCAGGACCUGUAAGCAAAGCUCAAACAGCAAUUAAAUGGAGAAAAUUUCUUCAUGAAGUGAGAAAUACUCCUGGUAAAAAGUAUAAAGUU